ACACAUGCAAGUCGAGCGGAAACGAUGGGAGCUUGCUCCCAGGCGUCGAGCGGCGGACGGGUGAGUAACACUUAGGAAUCUACCUAGUAGUGGGGGAUAGCUCGGGGAAACUCGAAUUAAUACCGCAUACGUCCUACGGGAGAAAGGGGGCAACUUGUUGCUCUCGCUAUUAGAUGAGCCUAAGUCGGAUUAGCUAGUUGGUGGGGUAAAGGCCUACCAAGGCGACGAUCUGUAGCUGGUCUGAGAGGAUGAUCAGCCACACCGGGACUGAGACACGGCCCGGACUCCUACGGGAGGCAGCAGUGGGGAAUAUUGGACAAUGGGGGAAACCCUGAUCCAGCCAUGCCGCGUGUGUGAAGAAGGCCUUUUGGUUGUAAAGCACUUUAAGCAGUGAAGAAGACCUAACGGUUAAUACCCGUUAGCGAUGACAUUAGCUGCAGAAUAAGCACCGGCUAACUCUGUGCCAGCAGCCGCGGUAAUACAGAGGGUGCAAGCGUUAAUCGGAAUUACUGGGCGUAAAGCGAGCGUAGGUGGCUUGAUAAGUCAGAUGUGAAAUCCCCGGGCUUAACCUGGGAACUGCAUCUGAUACUGUUAAGCUAGAGUAGGUGAGAGGGAAGUAGAAUUCCAGGUGUAGCGGUGAAAUGCGUAGAGAUCUGGAGGAAUACCGAUGGCGAAGGCAGCUUCCUGGCAUCAUACUGACACUGAGGUUCGAAAGCGUGGGUAGCAAACAGGAUUAGAUACCCUGGUAGUCCACGCCGUAAACGAUGUCUACUAGUCGUUGGGUCCCUUGAGGACUUAGUGACGCAGCUAACGCAAUAAGUAGACCGCCUGGGGAGUAUGGCCGCAAGGUUAAAACUCAAAUGAAUUGACGGGGGGCCCGCACAAGCGGUGGAGCAUGUGGUUUAAUUUCGAUGCACGCGAAAGA
rnacentral:rRNA from 1 species